AACGAACGCUGGCGGCAUGCCUAACACAUGCAAGUCGAACGAGACCUUCGGGUUUAGUGGCGCACGGGUGCGUAACGCGUGGGAACCUGCCCUUAGGUUCGGAAUAACUCCCCGAAUGGGGUGCUAAUACCGGAUAAUGUCUUCGGACCAAAGAUUUAUCGCCUUUGGAUGGGCCCGCGUUGGAUUAGCUAGUUGUUAGGGUAAAAGCCUACCAAGGCUACGAUCCAUAGCUGGUCUGAGAGGCUGAUCAGCCACACUGGGACUGAGACACGGCCCAGACUACUACGGGAGGCAGCAGUGGGGAAUAUUGGAAAAUGGGCGAAAGCCUGAUCCAGCAAUGCCGCGUGAGUGAUGAAGGCCUUAGGGUUGUAAAGCUCUUUUACCCGGGAUGAUAAUGACAGUACCGGGAGAAUAAGCUCCGGCUAACUCCGUG
rnacentral:rRNA from 1 species